UUAGAAAAAUGGGAGUCGAACCCACACAAAGAGAUCAAAACUCUUCAUACUUCCUUUAUAUUAUUUCCU
rnacentral:tRNA from 1 species